ensembl:lncRNA
AUGUCUCGUGUGGUUGACAUUUCUUCAGGUGCUUCAACGUUGUUCUCGUCUCGAGCAGCCCUCUCACAACCAAUCACAGGCAUCCUGUUUGAUCCUAUCAGCUCUUUAAUGAGUUCACCUGUCUCACCAAAACAUAUCCAAGCUGACCUUGGUUUUUUUUAUUUGACGGCAUGUGAAAGACUACCGCAGCUUAGAAGGACAGCCAACUCUGUUCGGCUUAUUUUGUUGUGUAAACCAUUGAACCAACUUGACUCUAAAACCGAGCAGUUUGUGUUUUGCUGCUUUCGACUGAACAGCCGGAGAAACAUGGCGUCCUACCAGAGAGCCUUAACGUGGAACCCAGAAGCUGUGGUUCAAUGCUGAGCAUCGCGUGGGCUGGAGGGAGAGAUCUCCGUGCAGAUCAUCAUAAUUGUCUGGUCGGUCUGGAGUGAUUAAAAAAAUAAUAAUUAUGUAGGGACUAAUUCUUUUUGCCAGUUUUUUAUUUGUCUACCAUGUCUGUGAGCCUAGCUAUUAUGACAACACCCCUAAGAUGGGAACCAUCUUAUAAGCUUUGGAUAUGUCCGGUUUUUAUGUUGGGUAUUUUGAACGGGAACUAUAAUAAAACUCAUGCUUGUGUAGCAGCUUAGAAGCCCUAGUGAACCUCUCUGAACAUGGUGCUCUUGAAUGCAGCCAGAAAAUGGUCCAUUCCCCUAAUAAAGGCCCUUAUUUAAGGCAGCUGUGCAAUUGUGCCUCAGUAGUGCUUCUGUCACUGCUGUGGCUUGUGUAGCCGAGUAUCAACCAUGUGAGUAGCAUUUUAAUAGACAAAAUGCACUUUUAUACAAGAUUCCUUUGUUUAGUUUAUUUUAGCUUUAGGAUAGCCCCUCUUUGAUCAAGUGACUUUGGACUCAUUGACUCAAACCAAUGUUGGUGAGUAGUGUAGGCCACAACAAAUAUUGUCGGUAUGCAGCAUGCUGAGCCGGGUUGAUUCCAUUUUCUUUUUUGCAGUGCCACUCCUUGGCAUAGUUUGCCUCUCACCUGUUGGCCUCAGCUAUAGUCUGGUAUGUUUUGUUUUAGUUUGGAUUUUUAGACUAUGUAUAAAAGUUUUUAGCUGACUGUAAUAAAGGAUAUUUUCCCCUUACUUGGCUAUCUUGUUUAGUCAUUUUGUACACUAAUCCUUUGUAUCCUCAGCAGA